GUUAUGAUGUGAGACCAGCGCUGCUCAGUGGCCUGGUGGCUCUGCUGAGGCCUGCUAAAGAAGAAGUAAAGCCACACCAGAUCACAGAAGAGGCUGAGAUGAUCAAAACGACUGGAUCUCUGCCUGUGUUUGUGCAACAAGCUGCUGCAGCUAAAGCUCUACGGUCGCUGGCUGAGGAAGAUCA